rnacentral:rRNA from 1 species
UACGUAGGGAGCAAGCGUUGUUCGGAUUUACUGGGCGUAAAGGGCGCGUAGGCGGCAAUUCAAGUCACUUGUGAAAUCUCCGGGCUUAACUCGGAACGGUCAAGUGAUACUGCUUUGCUAGAGUGCGGAAGGGGCAAUCGGAAUUCUCGGUGUAGCGGUGAAAUGCGUAGAUAUCGAGAGGAACACCUGAGGUGAAGACGGGUUGCUGGGCCGACGCUGACGCUGACAGCGCGAAAGCCAGGGGAGCAAACGGG